rnacentral:rRNA from 1 species
GACGGAGGGUGCUAGCGUUGUUCGGAAUGACUGGGCGUAAAGGGCGCGUAGGCGGCCAGGCUAGUCGGGUGUGAAAGCCCGGGGCUCAACCCAGGAACGGCAUCCGAUACUGCCUGGCUGGAGACCGGGAGAGGAGGGUGGAAUACCCAGUGUAGAGGUGAAAUUCGUAGAUAUUGGGUGGAACACCGGUGGCGAAAGCGGCUCUCUGGCCCGGAUCUGACGCUGAGGCGCGAAAGCGUGGGGAGCAAACAGG